GUGGGGAAUAUUGGGCAAUGGGGGAAACCCUGACCCAGCGACGCCGCGUGAGGGAAGACGGCCUUCGGGUUGUAAACCUCUUUUGUACGGGAAGAAGGAAGUGACGGUACUGUACGAAUAAGUCCCGGCUAACUACGUGCCAGCAGCCGCGGUAAUACGUAGGGGACGAGCGUUGUCCGGAAUUACUGGGCGUAAAGGGCGCGCAGGCUGUGCUGCAAGUCAGCUGUGAAAUGUCUGGGCUUAACCCGGGCAUGCGGUUGAGACUGCAGUGCUGGAGUGCGGUAGAGGCAAGUGGAAUUCCCAGUGUAGCGGUGAAAUGCGUAGAUAUUGGGAAGAACACCGGUGGCGAAGGCGACUUGCUGGGCAGCAACUGACGCUGAGGCGCGAAAGCCAGGGGAGCAAACGGGAUUAGAUACCCGUGUAGUCC
rnacentral:rRNA from 1 species